rnacentral:rRNA from 1 species
AACGAACGCUGGCGGCAUGCCUAACACAUGCGAGUCGAACGAGACCUUCGGGUCUAGUGGCGCACGGGUGCGUAACGCGUGGGAACCUGCCCUUAGGUUCGGAAUAACUCCCCGAAAGGGGUUCUAAUACCGGAUAAUGUCUUCGGACCAAAGAUUUAUCGCCUUUGGAUGGGCCCGCGUUGGAUUAGCUAGUUGGUAGGGUAAAAGCCUACCAAGGCGACGAUCCAUAGCUGGUCUGAGAGGAUGAUCAGCCACACUGGGACUGAGACACGGCCCAGACUCCUACGGGAGGCAGCAGUGGGGAAUAUUGGACAAUGGGCGAAAGCCUGAUCCAGCAAUGCCGCGUGAGUGAUGAAGGCCUUAGGGUUGUAAAGCUCUUUUACCCGGGAUGAUAAUGACAGUACCGGGAGAAUAAGCUCCGGCUAACUCCGUG